GCUUAGUUUAAAGUUGUUUGAGCUAAUCUAGAGCUUGAAGCCUUGACCUAAUCAGAUUAGGUUCAAAUUUAUGAUUUUCUAGAUGGCUUAACCUCUUUAUAUGGAAGAGUUCCAUAUGAAACCAACUCCUCCUAACCACCUCAUGCCAAAAUAAAUACACGCCACAUUUAUUUUAAAGUGCCCAGAAGGAAGAGUCUUUCUGGGUUACUCC
rnacentral:lncRNA from 1 species